CUGUUGUUCUGUUCUUUAAUCUGAUUCAGUUCUGAAGACAGUUUAUUGUUUUCAUUCCUCAUGGCAUAGUACUCUGCAUAGAUGUGAUUCAAGUUAUUGAUACAGGCUUCCAGUUCUGAAGUCAGCCUGUUGUUCUGUUCCUGAAUCUGAUUCCGUUCUGAAAACAGUGUGAGGCAUUGGAUCCUCAUGAUAUCGUACUUUGCAAAGAGUUGAUUGGAGUCAUUGAUAGAGGAGUUCAGUUCUGAAAUCAGCCUGUUGUUCUGUUCCUGAAUCAUCUUGGUUUCUAUGGACACCGUGUUAUCAGGGUCCAUGAUUAUCUCCACUUCACUUUCUCUGACUUCUGCCUGUAUCUCAUGGAGUUGUUUUGGUCUGUCAGAGUCACAUUUCAUGUCAGGGUGUUGGGAGUUGUUCACUAUAACAAAAGGUGUUUGUUUCCAGCGCCCCCUUUGACCACUCUGUGUCACUGCAUGUGCACAACUCUCAGACGUUUCUCUUUGGGGCUGUGACUCUGUUUUCUCUCCAUUUUCCAUGGGACAGUAUGCUUCUUUCACCUUCUUUUCAAGAUCUUUGACGAUUUCCUUCUGUUUCUUGCACUCGCUCUGUGCUAGUUCCAGUUGUCUCUUAGUGGAAGCAUUUUCUUUCUGCAUUUUUCUCAAAAUAUAUUUCAGUCGUGUGUUUUCAUACGACAGACUUUUGGUGUCCGUAAACCGGCUUUGGCCCCCACGCGAUGCCAUUUGCUUAAAGGAUGAGUUGGUUUUGCAGGUGAAUGUUUGGUCUUUAAAGUUUGCUGUUCAGCUGAAGACACCAGAGAUCAUCCUGAGGGACGAAGGGCCCGACUGGCAGAGAGUACUGGGAUACGUAGAAAGCAUUUUCUGUCAUUUUGAGAUGUGAGGUCAUCCUUCAUCAUCAUUCUUCCUCCACUGGCUUUGUUUUCCUGGUCAGAAGAUGAAGAACUGAACUAAAGUUUACAUGAGGAAUGAGAUCGACCGUAAUUUAAAAAGCCAGGGUUUUAAACAUGACAAUAUUUGACUAAAGCUCAGCCAUUUUUAACCUUUGGGCACAUUUAGUUCACUUCCCUGCACAGCUGUGAUAGUGGACAGACACAUAUCACUGAUUCAGCACAUUCUGCCUUUAAAUGAAACCACUGAGCACUUUAUAAUUAUUAUCUUGGUGGAUCACGUAGUUUCAUCUUUCCUGAGUUUCCUUUUUGAUCAGAAACGUCUCCCAC
rnacentral:lncRNA from 1 species